GUUCCUCUCUCACAUAUCUCUAAAGUACGCUCUAAUUACCAUUUCAUAUAACCCGUACUCUCUCCCCCUAAAGUAAGCUGCACUCUCUAUUUUACAUAAACUCUCUCUCUCUCUCUCUCACUACUUGGCCCUCAAAAAUUGUAGCUUGAACAUGGGACCUGGAGGUCCAGGAGGUGGGGGCGGGCCUGGUUUUGGAGGUCCAGGAGGAGGAGGAGGGGGCGGACCUGGCUUUGGAGGUCCUGGUUUUGGGGGUGGACCUGGCGGACCACCGGGGUUCGGUGGUCCUGGUUUUGGACCUCCAGGGUUCGGACCAGGGCAGGGCUUCGGCCCUCCUAUUCUUGGAAACUACUGGGGAGGUGGUCUGUUUGGUUGUUUCGAACAACUGCUACAGAUCUUGUGUUGCUGCUGGCUAUUUCAAGCAUGUUGUGGAGGGUGCUGCCCACAGUUUUAUGGGCCGCCUGGACCGCCCGGACGACCUUUUUAGUUUACACAAAUAUCAAGCAGCCUGAGAAGAUCUACAUAUGUGCCUCUCUCUCUUCGAUCCUUUGGGUUUCGGCACCAUCAUACUUGCAAGUUCCCAAUAUUCGCUUUGUAAGAGCUGUGAAGACUUUCAUGUCAUCCAUAAAUUCUUUCCAUAUGAGUAUCAUAAGCACUACAAUUGUCCUCCAUGUCAUCUUCCAAGUCACUAAUUUGACCCUCAAAGGUGGUGAAGUUCAGUCUCAAUUCAUUAUUUUCAAUCCCUUGGGUUAUGAUUUGCUCCGACUAAUCCUCAAGGUGGUUGGCACACUACCGAAUUCCUGUCGAGACACCACCAGCACCAAACCACAGUUUGACACAGAUUGUAUGGGGGCUAAUUUUUCACAUAGCCAAACCUUGUAACAAGAAGCCAAAUUCAAACCCAGACUACGGCAACGCCAGCCUUCUUCAAACCAAUAUAGCAGGAAUGGAGCAACUAACACAGGGCACACAGAAGUGAUCGAGCAAAUAACCUAUUGUGGCAGUUACAUAGCCGUCCAUAAGUCUCAUUAUAUAUGGGGGGUGGUGAUUGGUGACAUGGGUGAUGCACUUCGCCAAGCAUCUCUUGAGGAAGCAUGUAGCUGAGACAUGUUAGCUGGAGCCGGUGAUUUAAAAAAUGCCAGGUCGGCAUGGAAUCGUCCAAUCCAACCUGAGAAUCGGUUACGUCAUUCCAGUUUUGAGUAUAUAUACGAAAAUGAUCAAAUUUAGAAGGGAACCGGCAGUUCCACAUAGUAAAUGGCUAUUCUCUACUGUAAAACGCCGAUCAGCACCACUAAUUCAUCGAUCCAAUCCUGUUUUUGGCCGGUUCA